UGGGGAAUAUUGCACAAUGGGGGAAACCCUGAUGCAGCGACGCCGCGUGAACGAAGAAGGUAUUCGUAUCGUAAAUUUCUGUCCUAUGGGAAGAUAAUGACAGUACCAUAGAAGAAAGCUCCGGCUAAAUACGUGCCAGCAGCCGCGGUAAUACGUAUGGAGCGAGCGUUGUCCGGAAUUAUUGGGCGUAAAGGGUACGCAGGCGGUUUAAUAAGUCGAAUGUUAAAGAUCGGGGCUCAACCCCGCAAAGCAUUGGAAACUGAUAAACUUGAGUAGUGGAGAGGAAAGUGGAAUUCCUAGUGUAGUGGUGAAAUACGUAGAUAUUAGGAGGAAUACCAGUAGCGAAGGCGACUUUCUGGAAACAAACUGACGCUGAGGUACGAAAGCGUGGGGAGCAAACAGG
rnacentral:rRNA from 1 species